AUAACGGUCCUAAGGUAGCGAAAUUCCUUGUCGGGUAAGUUCCGACCCGCACGAAAGGCGUAAUGAUUUGAGCGCUGUCUCGACAAUGCAUCCGGUGAAAUUGAAGUACCAGUGAAGAUGCUGGUUACCUGCGCCAGGACGGAAAGACCCCAUGGAGCUUUACUCCAGCUUGAUACUGGGAUUCGGUAUUGCAUGUACAGGAUAGGUGGGAGGCUAGGAAGUGGUAACGCCAGUUGCCAUGGAGCCAAUGUUGGGAUACCACCCUUGCAGUACUGGGUUUCUAACCAGCAGCCGUGAUCCGGCUGGGGGACAAUGUCAGGUGGGGAGUUUGACUGGGGCGGUCGCCUCCGAAAGGGUAUCGGAGGCGCUCAAAGGUUCCCUCAGAAUGGUUGGAAACCAUUCGAAGAGUGCAAAGGCAGAAGGGAGCUUGACUGCGACACCGACGGGUGGAGCAGGUACGAAAGUAGGACUUAGUGAUCCGGUGGUAUAAAGUGGGAUUGCCAUCGCUCAACGGAUAAAAGCUACCCUGGGGAUAACAGGCUUAUCACUCCCAAGAGUUCACAUCGACGGAGUGGUUUGGCACCUCGAUGUCGGCUCAUCGCAUCCUGGGGCUGUAGUAGGUCCCAAGGGUUGGGCUGUUCGCCCAUUAAAGCGGUACGCGAGCUGGGUUCAGAACGUCGUGAGACAGUUCGGUCCCUAUCCGGCGCAGGCGGAGGAAAUUUGAUAGGAGCUGUCCUUAGUACGAGAGGACCGGGAUGGACGGACCGCUGGUGUAUCUGUUGUACUGCCAAGUGCAUAGCAGAGUAGCCAAGUCUGGAAGGGAUAAACGCUGAAGGCAUCUAAGCGUGAAGCCCCCCUAAAGAUAAGAUUUCCCAUACCGAAAGGUAGUAAGACCCCUUGAAGACGACGAGGUAGAUAGGGCAGAGGUGGAAGUACGGUAACGUAUGGAGCUGACUGUUACUAAUCGGUCGAGGCUUUAACCAA
rnacentral:rRNA from 1 species